rnacentral:misc_RNA from 1 species
GAAAGGAGAGAAGUAAUGUGAAUUGCAGAAUUCAGUGAAUCAUCGAAUCUUUGAACGCACAUUGCGCCCGCCAGUAUUCUGGCGGGCAUGCCUGUUCGAGCGUCAUUUCAACCAUCAAGCCCCGCGCUUGUGUUGGGGACCUGCGGCUGCCGCAGGCCCUGAAAACCAGUGGCGGGCUCGCUGUCACACCGGGCGUAGUAGAUUUUAUCUCGCUCAGGGCGUGCUGCGGGUUCCGGCCGUUAAAAAGCCUUUUUUACCCAAGGUUGACCUCGGAUCAGGUAGGAAGACCCGCUGAACUUAAGC